GUGAGGAAUAUUGCGCAAUGGAGGCAACCCUGAUCUAGCCAUGCCGCGUGAGUGAUGAAGGCCUUAGGGUCGUAAAGCUCUUUCGCCGGGGAAGAUAAUGACGGUACCCGGUAAAGAAACCCCGGCUAACUCCGUGCCAGCAGCCGCGGUAAUACGGAGGGGGUUAGCGUUGUUCGGAAUUACUGGGCGUAAAGCGCGCGUAGGCGGAUCGGAAAGUUGGGGGUGAAAUCCCGGGGCUCAACCCCGGAAUUGCCUUCAAAACUCCCGGUCUUGAGGUCGAGAGAGGUGAGUGGAAUUCCGAGUGUAGAGGUGAAAUUCGUAGAUAUUCGGAGGAACACCAGUGGCGAAGGCGGCUCACUGGCUCGAUACUGACGCUGAGGUGCGAAAGCGUGGGGAGCAAACAGGAUUAGAUACCCCAGUAGUCC
rnacentral:rRNA from 1 species